rnacentral:piRNA from 1 species
CAGUCUUUUUUAUGCAAGGAUCUUGGACA